GCAAUUAUACAGCGAAACUGCGAAUGGCUCAUUAUAUAAGUUAUCGUUUAUUUGAUAGUACCUUACUACUUGGAUAACCGUGGUAAUUCUAGAGCUAAUACAUGCUAAAAAUCCCGACUUCGGAAGGGAUGUAUUUAUUAGAUUAAAAACCAAUGCCCUCUGGGCUCUCUGGUGAUUCAUGAUAACUUCUCGAAUCGCAUGGCCUUGCGCCGGCGAUGGUUCAUUCAAAUUUCUUCCCUAUCAACUUUCGAUGUUUGGGUAGUGGCCAAACAUGGUUGCAACGGGUAACGGAGGGUUAGGGCUCGACCCCGGAGAAGGAGCCUGAGAAACGGCUACUACAUCCAAGGAAGGCAGCAGGCGCGCAAAUUACCCAAUCCCGACACGGGGAGGUAGUGACAAUAAAUACUGAUACAGGGCUCUUUUGGGUCUUGUAAUUGGAAUGAGUACAAUUUAAAUCCCUUAACGAGGAACAAUUGGAGGGCAAGUCUGGUGCCAGCAGCCGCGGUAAUUCCAGCUCCAAUAGCGUAUAUUAAAGUUGUUGUGGUUAAAAAGCUCGUAGUUGAACCUUGGGCCUGGCUGGCCGGUCCGCCUCACCGCGUGUACUGGUCCGGCCGGGCCUUUCCCUCUGUGGAACCCCAUGCCCUUCACUGGGUGUGGCGGGGAAACAGGACUUUUACUUUGAAAAAAUUAGAGUGCUCCAGGCAGGCCUAUGCUCGAAUACAUUAGCAUGGAAUAAUGAAAUAGGACGUGCGGUUCUAUUUUGUUGGUUUCUAGGACCGCCGUAAUGAUUAAUAGGGACAGUCGGGGGCAUCAGUAUUCAAUUGUCAGAGGUGAAAUUCUUGGAUUUAUUGAAGACUAACUACUGCGAAAGCAUUUGCCAAGGAUGUUUUCAUUAAUCAGGAACGAAAGUUAGGGGAUCGAAGACGAUCAGAUACCGUCGUAGUCUUAACCAUAAACUAUGCCGACUAGGGAUCGGACGAUGUUAUUUUUUGACUCGUUCGGCACCUUACGAGAAAUCAAAGUGCUUG
rnacentral:rRNA from 1 species